UCCGGCGCAUGUGCACAGGCAAGGGGAGAACGCGGAAGACACUCGGUCGCCCCAGUGCAUCAUGGGAGUUGUAGUUCGAUGGGGCCCUGGCGGGGCGGCCGUGGCUGUUGUAAGACAGCGCCCAGCGGGGCGGCUCUGACGCUAGGUUGGGCUUCUCAGCCCGUGCUCGGCCAGGGCGUGGCUAGAGGCGCCGGACGGAGGGGAGGCCUCGGAUACAUGCCCCUCCCAACCCUCUCUGGCCUUCCCCCGGGCCCUCCCUCGCCCUAGCCUGCACAUGUUGUGGGUAGCGGGGGAUCCGUGAGCCCAGGGGACGCACCGCCACCACUUCCAAUUUUAUUCCAGUUCCAUUUUGUAGCAAAACAAGCCUCCUCCAACACCGCCAGAGUAGCUGUCACAGGGGCGAUGACCUAGGGUGACGAAGUGUCCAGUUUUUGGCUGGACCACUGUGAUCCUGGUGGCUCUGAUCAGCACCGCUGACCGGGCCGUUAAAAGUCCGGUCAGUGGGGCUGCGGCGCUAAGGCAGGCUAACGCCUACCUGUCCUUGCUCUGCGCUGAGCCCUGGAAAUGGCCAGCAGGUCCGUCUCCUAGGUGGGGGGGCCACAGGGCUCUGCGCACUGUCCCCAUCCCAAGCACCAUCUCUGCACUCCCAUUGGCUGGGAACCGUGGCCAAUGGGAGCUGUGGGGGGGAAGGGGUGUGCCUGCGGCCAAGAGCAGCGCACAGAACCACCUGAUGUACCUUCUCCUAGGAGCCGGACCUGCUGGCCACUUCUGGGGCGCAGCAUAGGGUCAGGACAGGCAGGAAGCCUGCCUUAGCUCUCCCGCUGUGCUGCUGACCGGGAGCCACUUGAGAGACUGUCCAGUUUGACCAAUGUACAUGGCAGAGGAGCAUUGCUGGCACAUGAUGGCAUAUAUCACGUUGGUGGAUGUGCAGAUGCUACCCAUUUGUCCUUGCUUCUCUUCUGACCUAUGGAGGGGGUAGAUCUUCGGGGCCCCUUUCCUGAACUUGCAGAAAAAUGUUUCUUUCAGGCAUCUCUUUGGGGUGGAGAGGCCAUCUCUUGAGCCAGCUGAAGACAAAAUAGAGGAGCUUCCAGGGCCUUUUAUAUUCUCUCUCUCUUGUGGGCGGAAACCCCUUUGUUCUUCUGUGCAAAAUCACAGCAACAAGAUGGAAUUUGUAGCCACCUGGUUAAAUCACAUGUCCAUGAAUGAUUCAGCUUUUUGCAGGCAGAUGCCAUUGUUUACAUGUUAGUUUGAAUGUUCCCAGGAAAGCUCAGAUGUGGACCGGCGUCUCCCAAAGUCCAUUGUCAGUUAAGUGUUUCUUGAUUGGGCACUUACUCAGCAUAGUUCUUUCUCAAGAAGUUGACCAAAUGCUUCACCGAUGCUACUUAGAAUCAAACACAUUGAGAUACAAGUACAGAGCCAAUAUUCGUAACUUCAAAUACAAAAAUGAUACACACAUACAGACAGCACAAUCAUAAACAGCAAAUUACAACUUUUCCAUAGACACCUUACUUGACUUCCUUUGUACAAGAUUUGGUGCAACAAUGAUCUACACAGUCAUAGCUCAUCAAUAACGUUACAGGCGGUGCUGCCCAUCUAAGACACGCUAGUGCCUACUUGUUUCCACACCGUGCUGCAACCUGGAAGUGGCCAGCAGCGGUCUAGCUUCUAGGCAGGGGGGCCACGGGGCUCCAAGCACUGCCCCUGCCCCGAGCAUUGGCUCCGCACUCCCAUUGACUGGGAACCGGCCAAAGGAAACUGGGGAAGAAGGGGCACGGUGACUGCGGGUGAGUCACGCACCUCCACCAAGGAGCCAGACCUGCUGCUGGCCGAUUCCAUGGCACAGCGCAGUCUGCGGUGCACCCUGGUUAUGCUGCUGAGCCGCCAGAGGUAAGUCCGUGCCUGUACUCCUGCCCUAGCCCUGAGGCCCCCCAAACCCAGAGCCCCUCCUGCAUCCCAGCCCCCUCAGCUGCAGCCCAGAACCCUGAUCCUCUCCCACAUCCCAACCCCCUGCCUCAGCCCUGAGCCUCCCCCAAACCAGGAACCCCUUCCUGCAUCCCAAACCCCUCAUCCCUGGCCCCACCCCAGAGCCUGCACCCCCAGCCCAGAACCUUGACUCCCUCCUGCAUCCCAACCCUCUGCCCCAGCCCAGAGCCCCCUCCCACACCCGUCAUCCCUAGCUCCGUUGGGUUGCGGGCAUCAACAAUUUUCUUCAACUGGGUCCCCAGAAAAAAAGUUUGAAAACCACUGGUCUAAAGAAGGUUGUUUAAAAAAUAUCUCAUCAACAAAUAUUGUGAAAAAAGAUACUUAUGUUUUAUUAUGAAAGUCACACCACUAUCUCAAACAUAGUAUUUGCUUUAACAAAUCUUGUUGUAAUUGUCAUCUAAAAACAAGCAAAAGGGAUUCAACUUGAGAUUCAUGUGUUUUGGUUAUUUUAUUCGUGUUCCAAUAAAUAUUAAUAUACAAGAAUGAAGAAA